rnacentral:lncRNA from 1 species
CCGACUUCGGACCUGCGGCUUCAUCCCGGAUACCACUCGGCUAGAGGCGCCGACGGUGUCCCAAACCGCUUUCUUUUUCCAUUUAAAGCCAAAAUCCUUCUUUGAACCCAAAUUUCGAUGGAUUCCGAUUUAAAUGCCGAUUCAUCUUCCCUUCCUUAAUAGAUCGAGACGUCCUCACCAAGGGCGACACCCAAGGAAAAAUACACUUCCCCACUUAAAAUUUCAAAGGUCUUCAACACAAAAUCUGCAAAGCUAACUGUCGAUUCUGAGCAGUCUCAAAUCUGUCUCUAAUAACUGCGACUGAAUCACUGAUUCUAAACCAACUCUGGACCUGCGAUUUUCUGAUCUCUGAUCUCAUCUCAACGACAGAAGUUCUGUACACUCUGCUCUGCACGGAUUAAAAAGAAACUAUCUGACCGAUCUACUGAAACUGGGAACCUCUGGUCAAGAUCUGAUAUAACUCUGACACUGAUCUCGGCAACUGCAAUCACUGACUACUGUACUGACCCUGGCCUGUGAUCUUUCUUUCCCUGACUCCAUCUCAGCAAUUGAAAUUAUGUACCCUCUGCUAUACACUGCUUAAUAAAGAACCCUCUGAAAACUUUGCCAAAUUUACAAUCUUUGAUCUAGAUUUGAAAUAUAAUUCAUCCCCGGUACUCCAUGCCGGCGAAUUAUCUGAUGCACACACACUUCGGUAUACCCCUUUCUGUGACAAUAUAGGAUCUUCAAUUUCUGAAAUCGAACUUAGAUUGGCGGUUAAUUUCACUCCGACACGCUUUUAGUGUGACCUAGGCUAUUGGGUAGUGUUCAGAGCUUUUUAGGACAAAUGACCCGUGGUCGAUUUUCUUCGAGCCACAAUAAACCCACUCGACCCAUUGGUGACUCUCGAUUGUCGUGAAAAUCUCCAAGAUUCAAAUACGGACACAGGGUACCAAAACAACAGUAAAAUCAAAUUAGUACCGGUCGAUGAGAGUUUUCCAAUUUAGUGGAGUCACCCACGAUCGGUCAUUCAUCUCAGUCAAACCGAUCUAUCUCUGAUUUCAAAUCGGUUUUAUACUGUGCCGCAAUGAUCUCUAAAGAUGAGCACGGUCGAGAAGUCGAUCCCUGGUCGAAUUCUCAAGUCUAUUUGCCUUAAGGUCCUUAAUAACUCACCCAGCUAGUCUAGUUAUCUCAUGAGUGGCCAACUCAGAGAAAAACACUGUAAUCGCGUUGAUGAAAUGCCCGAUUUAUCUAAUCGAAAUCAGAGCCCGAAAUCUGGAUGUUACACACUCAAAAUAAGAUCUUCUGAACAUCUCUGUCUGUCAACUAGGCGCUGAUUCUAACUUGAACAUUUGGUUCAUCUUGAGGGUGGCUAUAAAUUCAAAAGGU